rnacentral:tRNA from 1 species
ACUGGGUUUGCCGAGUGGUUAAGGCGUUGGACUUAAGUUCCAAUGGACAAGUGUCCGCGUGGGUUCGAACCCCACAACCAGUA